GGGGCUGAUUAAGGAUUCGACGAAAUUUAUUGAAAUCCAAAAGAGCAUGCCGAGGGGCGGUAGGCCUCGUAAAAAGCCGCAAAAAAUAGUCGCAAACGACAAUCAAUAUAAACUGGCAGCUUAAUAACCUGUUCCAGAUUCUUCUUUUACCCUAGCCUCCUCUCUUAGGACGGGGAUAAAAGAAGUCAAAUUAAAAAGAGAUAGCGGGAUAACCUAAAGUCUGAGGUUCCUUCUAUAUAAAUAAGACUAAACUAAUUAAUAAGUGUGUCUAUUCAAAAUUAAUUAGUAAAACAAUAGACUAAGCAUGUAGAACUUAGGAUGUAAAGAUUUCGGACGCGGGUUCAAAUCCCGCCAGCUCCACCA
rnacentral:tmRNA from 1 species